rnacentral:tRNA from 1 species
UAGCUCAGAUGGUAAAGCAUCUGCCUACAAUGCAGGAAACCCAAGUUCGAUCCCUGG